rnacentral:rRNA from 1 species
GACGAACGCUGGCGGCGUGCUUAACACAUGCAAGUCGAACGCUGAAGCUCAGCUUUUGUUGGGUGGAUGAGUGGCGAACGGGUGAGUAACACGUGAGUAACCUGCCCCCUUCUUUGGGAUAACGCCCGGAAACGGGUGCUAAUACUAGAUAUUCACUGGUCUUCGCAUGGGGGUUGGUGGAAAGGGUUUUUCUGGUGGGGGAUGGGCUCGCGGCCUAUCAGCUUGUUGGUGGGUGAUGGCCUACCAAGGCUUUGACGGGUAGCCGGCCUGAGGGGGUGACCGGUCACAUUGGGACUGAGAUACGGCCCAGACUCCUACGGGAGGCAGCAGUGGGGAAUAUUGCACAAUGGGCGCAAGCCUGAUGCAGCGACGCCGCGUGAGGGAUGGAGGCCUUCGGGUUGUGAACCUCUUUCGCUCAUGGUCAAGCCGCAACAAUGGUUGUGGUGAGGGUAGUGGGUAAAGAAGCGCCGGCUAACUACGUG